UCUCUUUUUUACAUGUAUUUUAUUCUAUGUAUUUAUUUAUUUAUUGAUCGAGUGAGGCAUGCUGGGAUGCUGCCCUCAUUUAUGAAGAUACUUGGUUCCUAGGCCGUCUUGGAAAGAGCCACAGGAAAUAAAAUAAUUAAAAUGGAAGAGAGACAAUAAUCAGUUGGAGAUAAGGAGAAACAAAAAACCUAAUUGAAAGCUAAAGGAAAUUUUCGACAACAAUGUGGUGUCAGAAGUGGGAUCACCCGUGGGUAUUGGGGAGGAUGCGCUGGAACUACAGUCAUGGAAAAACUGAUUAGACCACGCUUGUUUCUUCAGUUUAUUGAUCCAUUUUAAUGCCUGGCACAACUAAAGCAGAGUGAGGAGAGCUAAAAGUGACCUGGAGGAUCAGAGCAAAGCCUUUGAGUGGCUCGCUAAUUCCCCUCCAAGACCUCAUCAGCUGUCGUCCCGGCUGCAAGGGAGUCAGGAGAGAUGCGGCAAAGCUCGUCCCAUCUGGCAGAAAGGAAAAUAACCUCCAAAAUUGUCCAUUAGUUGUUCUACUACAGUGUUUUCUCCUCAGCUGUCACUGUUGCCCCUUUUCAGUCUUUUACUUGUUGUUAUUCUGUAAGUAUUUGCUAUGUUUCACAGAUUAUCAAAUGAACCACUCCUUAGU